GGAUUGUGGCUCAGUGGUAGAGCGCUUGCCUAGCAUGUGCGAGGCCCUACGUUCAAUCCUCAGCACCA
rnacentral:tRNA from 1 species